rnacentral:lncRNA from 1 species
AAAAUUUUUUGAACCAAUCAUUUUGUCAGAAAAAUUACACUGGUUAUAUAGCAAUUUGACAAACACAAAAUUUGAUCAUUGAGAAGCUUAAUAUUCCUUUUACCACACAACAUAAUUAAAACGUUUAGCUGACUUUACAGAGUUAUCUCCCUGUAGUGUUAGGUACCACCUCAAUAUUAAGUUAGGUGAUAUCAAACAAUUGUUAUGUGAAUGAGACAAAAAUAUCUGAGGUACUUAAAUCUUUAUGCAUGAAAAUGCAGGAAGGGGACACCAAUUUAAAAAUGUAUAAAGUUUCACCAUUUUGACGAAAAUUCAUGGACACUUUGAUGGAUUAUGUUUUUUUCAAUCAUUUCAUGAAAAUGUUUUUUUGGCACAUAUCUAAUCUUGAAGUUUAAUGUGUGCAGUCAUUCUUGCAUUCUACAAUCAAGUACAUGGUUCAAGUAUCUUUUCAAAAUGAAUUUAAAAAUUGGGAUUUUUACACUGAUGACAGUGGAAAUUAUCCUGUUUAUAUUUAUAUAAUAUUUUUAAGGCAGCAGUCCUUUUGCAUCAAUUACUGUUUUUCAGGGGUAUCAUUUGCGCCAAGUUUUGUUUUCAAAAUGUAUCAAUUGCACUAAUAUUCGGAAUUCCUUUGUGCCAAUUUACCUGUACACAUAUCUAUCAUAAAUAUUAGUGAUUACUAUAUAUUUAUUCUUAUUUUUGGCUUAAAAAGUAUAUGUUUGGAGAUAUUUCACCAUGAAGAUGAGCAUAUGAAGAGAAAUGACUUGAAAUGCAUUAGACAUUCAAUGUACAGAGAGAGAAUAAAACUCAUUGCUUUGCUGAAUAUUUUAUAAAGAUAUGUCAAUAUAGAAAAUAGAAGCUUUUCCUGAUUAUGUUUAAGCCAUUUAUGUUGAUGACACAGUGCUUUGUUCCCACCAUGCCUAUGGGCUUUAUUAUGAUCUGUUUUAUGAAUUUGCUCCUUUAAUGUUUGUGUUUUUGGACAAUAAAGUGAAGUUUAAAGCUACUACAUACAUUAAAAUAGGAAGUAUCCAUGCAGCAGCAGUAAGAAAAAGAUAUGUUUAAGAAAAGGAAACAUUUGCCGUGUGAACUGAUGUUUCCAAAUCCAAAUAAAGGAGUAAGGAAGUCCUUUUUUUUCGAAUUGGCGCAAUCAUAUGUUUUAUUUUUGGCGCAAAUGAUACCAUGUAAUUUUAAAACAUGUGGCGCAAACGUAGCAUUGGAGAAAUAAAGUUUUGGCGCUAAAGGACGCAUUUUUGGCGCAAACGGAUCUCUCCCAUUUUUAAUGCCUCAAUUGUCAAUAUACUGUAGAAGCAGAAAUUUUUCGUGAAGUAUUAAAUUUCGUUUAUUUCAUGGAAAGAAUAUAUCCACGAAAUUAAAACCCCCACGAAAAUUUAACAUUUAUAUAAUAUAACUUCCAUUUAUUGGAAUCCACGAAAUUAAAUCCCCA